AACGAACGCUGGCGGCAGGCCUAACACAUGCAAGUCGAGCGAGGACUUCGGUCCUAGCGGCGGACGGGGGAGUCACGCGUGGGAACGCGCCCUUUGGUUCGGAAUAGCCCCGGGAAACUGGGAGUCAUACCGGAUCAGCCCUACGGGGGAAAGAUUUAUUGCCAAAGGAUCGGCCCGCGUUGGAUUAGGUAGUUGGUGGGGUAAUGGCCUACCAAGCCGACGAUCCAUAGCUGGUUUUGGAGGAGGAGCAGCCACACUGGGACGGAGACACAGCCCAGACUCCUACGGGAGGCAGCAGUGGGGAAUCUUAGACAAUGGGGGAAACCCUGAUCUAGCCAUGCCGCGUGAGCGAUGAAGGCCUUAGGGUUGUAAAGCUCUUUCAGUGGGGAAGAUAAUGACUGUACCCACAGAAGAAGCCCCGGCUAACUCCGUGCCAGCAGCCGCCGUAACAC
rnacentral:rRNA from 1 species